UACGGGGGGGGCAAGCGUUGUUCGGAAUUACUGGGCGUAAAGGGCUCGUAGGUGGCCAACUAAGUCAGACGUGAAAUCCCCUCGGCUUAACCGGGGAACUGCGUCUGAUACUGGAUGGCUUGAGUUUGGGAGAGGGAUGCGGAAUUCCAGGUGUAGCGGUGAAAUGCGUAGAUAUCUGGAGGAACACCGGUGGCGAAGGCGGCAUCCUGGACCAACACUGACACUGAGGAGCGAAAGCCAGGGGAGCAAACGGG
rnacentral:rRNA from 1 species